AGUGAACGCUGGCGGUAGGCCUAACACAUGCAAGUCGAACGGCAGCACAGUAAGAGCUUGCUCUUACGGGUGGCGAGUGGCGGACGGGUGAGGAAUAAAUCGGAAUCUACUUUUUCGUGGGGGAUAACGUAGGGAAACCUACGCUAAUACCGCAUACGACCUACGGGUGAAAGCAGGGGAUCUUCGGACCUUGCGCGACUGAAUGAGCCGAUGUCGGAUUAGCUAGUUGGCGGGGUAAAGGCCCACCAAGGCGACGAUCCGUAGCUGGUCUGAGAGGUUAAUCAGCCACACUAGAACUGAGACACGGUCCUGACUCCUGCGGGAGGCAGCAGUGGGGAAUGUUAGACAGUGGGCGCAAGCCUGAUCCAGCCAUACCGCGUGUGUUAAGAAGGCCUUCGGUUUGUAAAGCCCUUUUGUUGGGAAAGAAAAGCAGCAGGUUAAUACCCCGCUGUUCUGACGGUACCCAAAGAAUAAGCACCGGCUAACUUCGUG
rnacentral:rRNA from 1 species